rnacentral:tRNA from 2 species
GCCUCUUUAGCUCAGCGGUAGAGCACUGGUCUCGUAAACCAGGGGUCGUGAGUUCAAUCCUCACAGGAGGCA